GCCAAAUAUUCUUGCCUCAUUCCGAGCCAAGUCAAGCUUGAAAAAAAAGAACAUGCGAGUAGGUAUCUUAUACGGUAUUCAUAGAAAUUGGACUUUUCCUUUCUACCAAGAACAAUUUGUGGUUAGACCUUGAAUUUUAUCAAUUGAAAUCAAUAAGAUCUUUGUGUAUAUAAAGGCAGAUCGACAGGUAUCAAAUCAUAACAGAUUGGUCAACUCUACAAUAUCUGUAUUAACAAAUACAAUAUUUAAAAUGAAGAGCACUCUUUUGGUCGCUUUGCUCUGUUGUGCAAUUCUCUGUUCGGCAAUUUUGCCAUCAGUUGAAGCCCAAAGGGGAAGAGGAGGAGGCUUUGAAGGUGGAAGAGGCGGUCGAGGUGGUGGAUUUGGUGGUGGAAGUAGAGGAGGAUUUGGUGGUGGAAAUAGAGGAGGAUUUGGUGGUGGAAGUAGAGGAGGAUUUGGUGGUGGAAAUAGAGGAGGAUUUGGUGGUGGAAGUAGAGGAGGAUUUGGUGGUGGAAAUAGAGGAGGAUUUGGUGGUGGAA
rnacentral:lncRNA from 1 species